GCUCAGAACGAAAGCUGGCGGCUGGCUCAGAACGAACGCUGGCGGCCCCACUCCUACGGGAGGCAGCAGUGGGACUCCUACGGGAGGCAGCAGUGGGGCAGUUGGCUCAGAACGAACGCUGGCGGCUGGCUCAGAACGAACGCUGGCGGCUGGCUCAGAACGAACGCUGGCGGCUGGCUCAGAACGAACGCUGGCGGCCCCACUCCUAAGGGAGGCAGCAGUGGGACAGUUGGCUCAGAACGAACGGUGGAGGCCCGCUGCUACCCACUCCUACGGGAGGCAGCAGUUGGAUCCNUACGGGAGGGACCUGUGGACUCCNAAUCGAGGCAGCAGUAUUC
rnacentral:misc_RNA from 1 species